GACGAACGCUGGCGGCAUGCCUAACACAUGCAAGUCGAACGAGACCUUCGGGUCUAGUGGCGCACGUGUACGUAACGCCUGGGAACUUGCCCUUAGGUUCGGAAUAACUCCCCGCAAGGUAUGCUAAUACCGGUUGAUCUCUUCGCACCAAAGAUUUAUCGCCAUUGUAUGGGCCCGCGUUUGAUUAGCUAGUUGGUAGGGGAAAAGCCUACCAAGGAGACGAUCCAUAGCUGGUCUGAGAGGAUGCUCAACUACAAUGGGACUGAGACACGGCCCAGACUGGGACGGGAGGGAGGAGUGGAGAAUAUUAGAGACGGAAGGAUAGUCUAAUCAAGCAAUGUCGGGGAAGAGAGGAAGGGCUUAGGGUUGUAAAGCCGUUUUAGACGAGAUGAUAAUGACGGUACCGGGAGAAGAAGCACCGGCUAACUACGUG
rnacentral:rRNA from 1 species